CUUGAACCCAGGACUGGCAAGAUCGUGACCUAGGCUGAAGUCGAAUACUUAACCAACCAAAUUACCAGGCGUCCCCAGACAUCUAGCUUCUUCUUCAUAAAUUAAUGAACAUGGAUCCACAUUUCUAAAAGUCAAAAAGUUUGGAGACCCCAAGAUGAGACUAAUAUCUUUGGUUCUGGUGUGGUCACACGCAAAAGGCUGCAACAGGUUUGAAAUGAAAUACUAAGGACCGGGCAGCAAAUUUGCCUCCAUCAACAUGGAUUAAGAAUUCAAAAGAAAAUCGGUCAUCACCAACAACCAGACUUUACAGAACCUUCAGCAAAUAAAUAACUCGUUCCUGCAGAAAUGCACCCGCCAUGCAGACACCAGGACCGCGUAAAAUCCAUCCAAGCAGUGUCUCUUUGUGUCCUGGGAUUUACACACCUCCCCACCCCUCGAGGCCCGCACAUCUCGAGGAAGAGGAGAGCUAGGCUACCAUCUCUCCUGGUACCGCCAGGGCGACCUCAAAGGCAAUAGCGCUGGCCCUUCUCCCGGGUUCUGGCUGGGCCCCGGCGGACCCAUUUUCCACAGGCGUGGGGAAGGAAGUCGAAUCCCUAGGAAGAUCGAAGCCUGCAUGCGGAGGCUGCUUUCCGCAGUUACACGGAUCCGCCCUCAUCUCACUCCUUAGUAAUGAUGAAGCCUCGGCUCUGUACAGGGAUGGCCACAAACACUUCCAGCCCCUUCUCUUAGCUUCAGACUCUCUUGCAAACCUCGCCUUCCUCCCCAGGCCCAGGUCUCCUUCCAAUGGCCCACUGUCGGGGCUCCCCGCCGCCCCCCGAAACCAAUCCAGGACCCAGACCGUCCCAUUCCCUCCUCGGCUUUACGCGUAGUGCCCCGCCCUGGGCCUGAGGACGGGAGGGGGGUGACCGGCCAGCUCCGGAGGGGCCCGGGCCCCCAC